AUGAGCAUAUUUAAAACUUUCUAUCGCAGACGAAGAGACAGCUUGUCCCAUUUCCCAGCCCUGGGGCUGCGGCCUGCUCCUGCAGGAGGGAGGCCGUGCUGCCGGCUCUCGGCUCGGGGCCGUUCGUCUCCCUUCGCUGCCGCGCUGCUGUGGCGGGGCAGCGGGAGCAGCCCAGGCUCUGCUGGCUCUGCACGGAUCCAUGCUGCGGGCGAGGAAGGGCCAGGGACGCGCAUCGAGGCGCGGGGCUCGUCUCCCUGCCAGCCGCCCUCCUGCUUCUGCGGCAGGGGAAGGCUGGGCCCGCGCACUGCGUGGUGGGGAGGCUGGCACCCCGGGGAGGCGCAGGACGCAGGGACACCACGCAGGACAGAGGGACACCACGCAGGACAGAAGGACACGCGGCUGCCCAGGUGCCGUGGGCUGGGCUCUUCCCCACCAGCUCCCCGCCGCGGGUGUGCGGGGAGGGAAGGAGCCGCUCCUGCACCUCGCUCUGAGCGUGGUCUCGGCCGGUGCCCCCCAGCCUCUCCCUGCCUCACCCUUUUGUACGCUCCCCUCUUUUCUAUGUCCCCCCGCGCGUCCCCGUGCCCCACCAGGGCUGGUGCUGUCCUCAGCCGGCCGGGAUGUGGGGUGGGGGGGGCCCUUCUCCCCCUGCACCCUGUUGGUAGCGGUACGCGGAGCGGGCGAGGGCCCCCGAGCUGGUGUGCGGUGACGCGGGUAGGGCUGGUGACAGCGGCGCGCAGUCACGCUGGCAGAGCGAGGCCUCCCCCGGCCCCGCGGGUUUGGCACGGGGUCUUCCUCGUGCUGCAGGGAUUGGGGAAGUGGCUGGUGCUGCGGGGGCUGCCCGCGGGCCCUGCUGAGUCCUGGGUUUGCAUAGGGCGAAACUGCCCCGCGAUGUGCCAAACACACACGCACGCGGUCCUGGGAGCUGAUGUGGCACGGGGAUUUUCUCCCUCGUCCCGCCUGUGCCGCGGCCAGGUCGCGUUUCCUCCUCCCUCCCCUGCGCUGUCUGGACGCAGCGGUGGCUUCUGCAGCCUGCUCCCGGGUGUUGCCCCCGUUGGGCAGCCCCAGCACCCUGCCCAGCACCCUGCCCAGCACCCUGCCCAGCACCCCGCAAGCGGUGGGAGCGGGCUGGGCAGCGCUGAGGGUGCUGGGCUGCAGCCCCGGCGCCCACAAGCACCGCAGGGAGGACGCGGCCGCUGGGCCGACCGCGGGGGAGAGGCGGGAUGCGUGGCGCUUGGCAGGCUCUGGAAGGAGCCCGGCGCUGCGGCCUGUCACCGCGCCAGCACUGCCCUUGCGGGAGUUGUUAAUAAAAAAUGCCAGAAAACUCACUGCGUUUUUUGGGGC
rnacentral:lncRNA from 1 species